UGUAAUCCGAUGCUUCAAGUUCAAUAUAUAUAGCCAGCAGCAUCUAGAGCCAACCAUGGCCGUGGCUCCUACAGCUGGGCCAAGCUGCUGAGACAUCUAGGGGAUUUGGAGCCGAUUGGCAAUUGAUCUGCUGUAGGACAGGGGCAGGAUUUAUGGUGGCCUUGCAGGGCUGGUCCUUCUGCAUACUAAACAGUCCAGAGGACAGCAAGGGGAGGGCAGCCGCCUGGAGCCCAGGGCAAGUGGCUGCUUGUGGGUUGCUGGGGCAGAGCCUUUAGCAAAGGGGUAUCCACCUUGAGGACCUGCCCCUGUAAAAACCCAGCUUCCUUGGAGACUCAGCUGCGGUGGGAGCCAUGCAGAAGGUGGCCCUGUGGCUGUGUGCCCUGCCCUUCAAGAGGCACCAUUGCCUCCUGAAGCCUGUUUCCUUGUCUGCAAGAUGUCCCAGGAUGGUUUGUUGCCCAAGAGGUGGCCCAGCAGAGCUCCUUGCAGAAGGUGCUGGCAUUAUUGCUUGCUCAGGACACCCGCAUCCUCUUGCCCUGGGCUUCACACUCCAGGAAUGCCUUUCUCAUGUCUGUGCUGCAUAUACUUAUUGUAAGUAAAGGAGAACCUCAUGGCCGAUGAUAGUUUGUUCAUUUCCUCCCAGUCUUAUUGUGUGCACCUAUUCUUUCUUCCAAGUUCACAGUCUCUCUGGGCUUGUAUGGCGUGCAUUUCACUCACCACAGAUGUCUCUUCGGGGCUGGUCCAUGGUGUUACUCUCCCAGCAUUGACUUAAACAUUUCCCCACUGUUGGAUAGUGUAGCUGUUUCCACCUCUUUGUGGUUAUAAAUAUGCUGUGGUCAUUAUCUGAGCUGGCAGAGUGAAGUCCGCCCCUCUACGUGUUUAAUUAGCAUAGACUCCAAGAGGGGGCAUUCAUGGGUUAAGCAUCUCAUGACUUGGGACACCCCUUGUCCGAUGACAAAAACCUGGCCCUGUGAUCCCUGCCCUCAGUGGAGGAGGGAGGGCCUUCCGUGGUGCCCGGCCGGAGGGGCUGGGAUGUGUUCACUGUGAGUCUGGUGGGUCUCACAUGUAGGCAGAGUGGGGACAAGGCAGCCUGCUCUGUGGCGUGUCCCAUGGCGUCCGGGUUGCCUUGUCUGCAGUUCACUCACAUUGCCCUUGGUGUUGCUGCUUCAGAUAAGUUCCUGCCGUGUUAAUGCUAUUAAUUUUUUGUCAUGUUAGUGUCAAAAAUUUACCCGCCUCAUUUCUUGUCUUUUAGCUUGAUGUUUUCCUUUGAGCCACCUGAGAAUUUAGCUUCCACACAGUCAAAGUGAACUCAUCCUUCCCUUUAUUCUUGGAAAGUUCCUUCUCACCAGGGAUUCGGUAAAUAUUUGCUUCUGUUUACUUCCUGUUCCUUUCAAUGGUUUAAGUUAUUUUCUGUCAGCAUCAACUUAUUCCCCAGCCCAUAUCCGCAGGCCUCACACUCUAAUUAAGAGGAUGCCCUAUGGCCGGGCGCGGUGGCUCACGCCUGUAAUCCCAGCACUUUAGGAGCCCGAGGCAGGCUGAUCACUUGAGGUCAGGAGUUGGAGACCAGCCUGGCCAACAUGGUGAAACCCCGUCUCUACUAAAAAUACAAAAAUUAGCCGGGCAUGGUGGUGUGUGCCUGUGAUCCCAGCUACUCAGGAGGCUGAGGUAGGAGAAUUGCUUGAACCUGGGAGGUGGAGAUUGCAGGGAGCCGAGAUCAUGCCAUCGCACUCCAGCCUGGGCAACAGAGUGAGACCCUGGACCCUCCAAGACAUCAGAUUGUCCAACUGCUCAGUUUUCAUUGGGGCAAGUGCCUCGCUGAGGGUGAAGGGGGCUGUGAGUGCCCAUCAGGGAGCCUGGACAGGUCCCGCCUCUCACAGCUGUCCCACUCUCUGGAGCUGCCUUGGUGGCAGAUGGCACUGUCCUGACAUGCUCCUCAGCUGUCUUGCCCCGCAGAAGCUGUGUGGUCUCCCCUGUGAGUAGAGUCGGGCUCCAUGAUCCUCCGGAGCAGCGCCAGGGACUCUCCCCAGGCACAAUUUUAAAGGGGGCCCUAGGACCUGCCAGGUCCACGGAAGUGGUCCUUGUAACUCUCUCCCUGGUGGCAGCCUCUGGUGCAUUCCGGCAGGGGCAGCCCCUCCUCAUCACAGGGACCCUGUGUGCCAGGCCCCAGCUGCGUUGCCGCUGAAUUA
rnacentral:lncRNA from 1 species